UAAUAUAUAACAUACUUACCUAUAUAAUGUACACUUUGUUAUUAUUUUGUUUUGUUAUUUUUUAUCGUUAUACAUAAAUCCUUCGAAUAAAUCUAGCUGUCGUACUCUUAUGCAAAUCGUAAGCGUUUGGCGCAAGGACCCUUCAAAGUCCUGUAUAUAAUUGAUCAAAUCAAUAUCUUCAUACGUCACCGCCAUUAGCGAGACAUGUAACGCCAGCAAUUCUAUAGUCAGUCAUGUCCUGUAAAACUAUGCGUCGAAUAUCUUCUGAUUCUAACUUUUGAUGAUUGUGCUGAUGCAACUACAUUACGGAAGUAAUUAAUGUAGUUAUAGAUUCAUGACGAUGUUUACACUAACACUGAAUUCCGACGGCCGAUCGUAUAGCCACUAGGAGGUCGCCACAUGUAGACGGAGGUGGCAAUCAGGAUUUCUGUGCGCUAAAAUUAAAUUUGCGAGCAAUGGCACACCACCGCGAUGAAAACACAAACAUUGUCUGGGAUUGCAACAGUAUGAGAAACAAAUAAUAUAAAUAAUAUAAUAUAAACAGUGUUUAGUUCAUCGUUGCAUAAACGUUUUCAAAGAUUUGUUAAACAUAGUCGGAAAUACUUAGAUGAUUCUUACUUAAAUUUAGUCACAUAUAUUAUAUGAUUAUGACUUAGAAAAAUCCCGAGUACUCAGUGAUGUUAUUUUAUUGUCAAUUCUUCAUUUUAAUCUUUAUAAUGUAAUUUGCUUUAAAACUUCUCUUCCUAUAUUUCCAUUAAAAAACAUAAAACAUAUUUAAAUGUUAUUUCUACCAUAUAAUCUUGAAAUUAUGUUAACAUUAUAUUGUAUUAUGGUUAUUAAAUUUUUGUUUAUAAUCGUAUUU